AAAUGAAUAGACGGGGGCCCGCACAAGCGGUGGAGCAUGUGGUUUAAUUCGAUGAUACGCGAGGAACCUUACCAGGGCUUAAAUGCAGUCCGACAGGCCUAGAGAUAGGCCCUUCCUCGGACGGGCUGCAAGGUGCUGCAUGGUUGUCGUCAGCUCGUGCCGUGAGGUGUCAGGUUAAGUCCUAUAACGAGCGCAACCCCUGCCGUUAGUUGCCAGCAUGUAAUGAUGGGGACUCUAACGGGACUGCCGGUGCAAACCGCGAGGAAGGUGGGGACGACGUCAAAUCAUCACGGCCCUUACGUCCUGGGCCACACACGUGCUACAAUGGCCGGCACAGAGGGCAGCCACCCCGCGAGGGGGCGCGAAUCUCCAAAACCGGUCACAGUUCGGAUCGGGGCCUGCAACUCGGCCCCGUGAAGCUGGAAUCGCUAGUAAUCGGAUAUCAGCCAUGAUCCGGUGAAUACGUUCCCGGGCCUUGUACACACCGCCCGU
rnacentral:rRNA from 1 species